rnacentral:lncRNA from 1 species
AGCAAAUGAAAAAAAUAUAUAUACAUAUAAAAUACAAUCAUAAAUGUUUUAGAUAAAUUUUCACAAAAGAGUUACGCGGUCAAUCUAAACAAGUAAUAAGCAGCGACUCACGCCUUGUGAGCCGAAUAUUCUCAAGCAUAUGCCUUGAUAGUAGCAUGCUUAAUACAAACUAAUCAUUACAAUUUUUUGAUUGGUCAUCACAGUCUACAGUCAUAUUCAUUAUCAAAUUUUAUAUAAAUAUCAACAAAUUUGACAAGUAAAGAUCAUAACAAACAAAACUAUUAAGAUUAUUCAAUAUCCAGACAGGAAAUGACAAGUCUACAGUUAUAUUCAAUUCAAUAAUGAUAAACAACUAAUGGAAAAAAAUACCUUACAAACUCGGGUUUUCGCAUAGGAUAUUCACUUUUUGACACAUAAGAUACUAAAAAUAACUUGCUAUAGUUUAGCUUGCACCGAAACGGAUACGAAGGGGAGAGAAGGAAUGAAGAUGCUGCGACGAGAGCACUCUACCCAUGUUUGGACUUUGAAGCAAAUUCCCACAUAUAUGCGUGCAUUGUUGUGAAGAACUCCAAAAGCCUAGGGGCAGAAAUAGAAGAAAAACUUGAUUGAAGAGGGUUUAUUCCUUUUCAAAGGUCUUGUACUGGUGUCACCAGCUUAAGCAUAUACCACAAAUGGAUCCGAAUCUUCUGCUGUGAAUGCCAAAAAAGUCAGAAAAAGAAGAAAAAUACAAAAAAUAAAUUGGAAUAUUCUUCUUGCAGUUAAUGUUUGAAAUUUGAUGCCAUCAAUAGGGGAGGAAAGGACCACCCGCUGAACAAGACUCAAUCCCGAAUUUACC